GACGAACGCUGGCGGCGUGCUUAACACAUGCCAGUCGAACGGAAAGGCCCUGCUUUUGUGGGGUGCUCGAGUGGCGAACGGGUGAGUAACACGUGAGUAACCUGCCCUUGACUUUGGGAUAACUUCAGGAAACUGGGGCUAAUACCGGAUAGGAGCUCCUGCUGCAUGGUGGGGGUUGGAAAGUUUCGGCGGUUGGGGAUGGACUCGCGGCUUAUCAGCUUGUUGGUGGGGUAAUGGCUUACCAAGGCUUUGACGGGUAGCCGGCCUGAGAGGGUGACCGGCCACAUUGGGACUGAGAGACGGCCCAGACUCCUACGGGAGGCAGCAGUGGAGAAUAUUGCACAAUGGGCGGAAGCCUGAUGCAGCAACGCCGCGUGCGGGAUGACGGCCUUCGGGUUGUAAACCGCUUUCGCCUGUGACGAAGCGUGAGUGACGGUAAUGGGUAAAGAAGCACCGGCUAACUACGUG
rnacentral:rRNA from 1 species